GACGAACGCUGGCGGCGUGCCUAAUACAUGCAAGUUGAGCGCUGAAGUUUUGUACUUGUACCGACUGGAUGAGCCGCGAACGUGUGAGUAACGCGUGUGGAAUCUGCCUUUGAGCGGGGGACAACAUUUGGAAACGAAUGCUAAUACCGCAUAAAAACUUUAAACACAAGUUUUAUGUUUGAAAGAUGCAAUUGCAUCACUCAAUGAUGAUCCCGCGUUGUAUUAGCUAGUUGGUGAGGUAAAGGCUCACCAAGGCGAUGAUACCUAGCCGACCUGAGCGGGUGGGCGGCCAGAUUGGGACUGAGACACGGCCCAAACGGCUACAGGAGGCAGCAGUAGGGAAUCGGCAGCAAUGGGCGGGAGUCUGAGCGAGCAGCGCGGCGUGAGUGAGGAAGAUUGUCGGGCCGGAGAACUCUGUUGGUGGGGAAGAAAGUUGGUGAGAGUGGAAAGCUCAUCAAGUGACGGUAACUACCCAGGAAGGAACGGCUAACUACGUG
rnacentral:rRNA from 1 species